rnacentral:rRNA from 1 species
UUGCCUACGGGGGGCAGCAGUAGGGAAUAUUGGUCAAUGGGCGGAAGCCUGAACCAGCCAAGUCGCGUGAGGGAAUAAGGCCCUACGGGUCGUAAACCUCUUUUGCCGGGGAGCAAGGGCCGGGACGAGUCCCGGUCCGGAGAGUACCCGGAGAAAAAGCAUCGGCUAACUCCGUGCCAGCAGCCGCGGUAAUACGGAGGAUGCGAGCGUUAUCCGGAUUUAUUGGGUUUAAAGGGUGCGUAGGCGGGCUUUUACGUCAGCGGUAAAAAUUCGGGGCUCAACCCCGUCCGGCCGUUG